rnacentral:lncRNA from 1 species
GAAUGUACUUGGUUACUGUCCACCACCUUCAAUCAGUUUUUUUUUUUUUGGAUGUUUGGAUCUCACUCUGUGUCAAUAUUCGUGUUCCUGACAGGAGCAGCCAAUGAGAAUGGGAAAGUAGCCGAGGACAGCGAAACCAUUCCGGACCAGACACCUGCUCAGGGCGGCGAUGCUAAACCAGCAGACGAACCCGCUGCAGCUGCAACGUCUGCAGACAACACCGCUGCAGCUCCACCUGCAGCUGAGGAAGCUCCGCCUGCUGCAGACAGUCCGCCUGCAGAGGCAGCAGCACCUGUGGAGGCUUCGGCAGCAGCACCUGCAGAGGCUUCGGCAGCAGCACCUGCAGAGGCUUCGGCGGCAGCUGAAAGCAGCGCAGAGCCUGCAGCUGAAGCUCCUGAGCAAGAAAAAGCAGAGGCCACAGCGACCGAUGAAGAGCCCAAAACAGAGGAGGCACCAGCUCCCAGUGAGUGA